AGUGAACGCUGGCGGCAGGCCUAACACAUGCAAGUCGAACGGCAGCACAGGGAUAUCUUGGGCGGACGGGUGGGGAGCGGGGGGGGGCGGGCGAAUAGAUCCGGAUCUACUCUGGGGUGGGGGAGAACGUAGCGGAAACGACGCUAAGAGGGCAGACUAGCUGCGGGUGAAAGGAGGGGAGCUUGGGACGUUAGGCGGUGGGGUGAGCCGAGGCCGGCUUGGCGAGUUGGAGGGGGAAUGGCCCACCAAGGCGCCGAUCCGUAGCUGGUCUGAGAGGAUGAUCCGCCACACUGGCACUGAGACACGGUCCCGACUCCUACGGGAGGCCGCAGUGGGGACUCUUGGGCAAUGGGCGCAAGCCUGAUCCAGCCAUACCGCGUGGGUGCAGAAGGCGUUCGGGUUGUAAAGCCCUUUUGUUGGGAAAGAAAAGCAGCAGGUUAAUCCCCCGCUGUUCUGACGGUACCCAAAGAAUAAGCCCCGGCUAACUUCGUG
rnacentral:rRNA from 1 species